rnacentral:rRNA from 1 species
UACGUAGGGUCCGAGCGUUGUCCGGAAUUACUGGGCGUAAAGAGCUCGUAGGUGGUUUGUCGCGUUGUUCGUGAAAACUCACAGCUUAACUGUGGGCGUGCGGGCGAUACGGGCAGACUUGAGUACUGCAGGGGAGACUGGAAUUCCUGGUGUAGCGGUGGAAUGCGCAGAUAUCAGGAGGAACACCGGUGGCGAAGGCGGGUCUCUGGGCAGUAACUGACGUGGAGGAGCGAAAGCGUGGGGAGCGAACAGG